rnacentral:rRNA from 1 species
AAUUUUGGACAAUGGGCGCAAGCCUGAUCCAGCCAUGCCGCGUGAGUGAAGAAGGCCUUCGGGUUGUAAAGCUCUUUCGGACGGAAAGAAAUCGCGCAGGCUAAUACCCUGCGCGGAUGACGGUACCGUCAUAAGAAGCACCGGCUAACUACGUGCCAGCAGCCGCGGUAAUACGUAGGGUGCGAGCGUUAAUCGGAAUUACUGGGCGUAAAGCGGGCGAAGCGGGUUGAUAAGGACGGCGGGAAAAUCCCCGGGCUUAACCUGGGACCUGCGCUGGUGACUGGUCAGCAAGGUUACGGAAGAGGGGGUGGAAUUCCACGUGUAGCAGUGAAAUGCGUAGAGAUGUGGAGGAACACCGAUGGCGAAGGCAGCCCCCUGGGCCGAUACUGACGCUCAUGCACGAAAGCGUGGGUAGCAAGCAGG